rnacentral:rRNA from 1 species
GAUGAACGCUAGCUACAGGCUUAACACAUGCAAGUCGAGGGACCGGCGCACGGGUGAGUAACACGUAUCCAACCUGCCCUUUACUCGGGGAUAGCCUUUCGAAAGAAAGAUUAAUACCCGAUAUAAAGGAUGGGGAUGCGUUCCAUUAGGUUGUUGGUGAGGUAAAGGCCCACCAAGCCUUCGCUGGAUAGGGGUGCUGAGAGGAAGGACCCCGAGAUUGGAACUGAGACACGGUCCAAACUGCUACGUGAGGCAGCAGUGAGGAAUAUUGGGCGAUGGGCGUUAGCCUGAACCAGCCAAGUAGCGUGAAGGAUGAAGGCUUAUGGGUCGUAAACUUCUGGUAUAGAAGAAUAUGUAUUAUAUGAAUAAGGAUCGGCUAACUCCGUGCCAGCAGCCGCGGUAAUAC